rnacentral:rRNA from 1 species
UACGAAGGGAGCGAGCGUUGUCCGGAAUUACUGGGCGUAAAGAGCACGUAGGCGGCUAUAUGAGUUGGGUGUGAAAUCCCGGGGCUUAACCCCGGAACUGCACUCAAUACUGUAUAGCUAGAGACCGAGAGAGGAAAAUGGAAUUACGAGUGUAGAGGUGAAAUUCGUAGAUAUUCGUAGGAACACCAGAGGCGAAAGCGAUUUUCUGGCUCGGUACUGACGCUCAGGUGCGAAAGCGUGGGGAGCAAACAGG